CCUACGGGAGGCAGCAGUGAGGAAUAUUGGUCAAUGGACGAGAGUCUGAACCAGCCAAGUAGCGUGAAGGAUGACUGCCCUAUGGGUUGUAAACUUCUUUUAUAUGGGAAUAAACUGUUCCACGUGUGGGAUUUUGUAUGUACCAUAUGAAUAAGGAUCGGCUAACUCCGUGCCAGCAGCCGCGGUAAUACGGAGGGUCCGAGCGUUAUCCUGAUUUAUUGGGUUUAAUGGGAGCGUAGGUGGAUUGUUAAGUCAGUUGUGAAAGUUUGCGGCUCAACCGUAAAAUUGCAGUUGAAACUGGCAGUCUGGAGUACAGUAGAGGUGGGCGGAAUUCGUGGUGUAGCGGUGAAAUGCUUAGAUAUCACGAAGAACUCCGAUUGCGAAGGCAGCUCACUGGACUGCAACUGACACUGAGGCUCGAAAGUGUGGGUAUCAAACAGGAUUAGAUACCCCAGUAGUC
rnacentral:rRNA from 1 species